ACGGCUCAGUAACACGUGGAUAACCUACCCAAGAGUCCGGGAUAACCCCGGGAAACUGGGGAUAAUACCGGAUGGAUCACUAGUGCUGGAAUGCUUGGUGGUCGAAAGGUAACGCCUUUGGAUGGGUCUGCGGCGGAUUAGGUUGACGCCGGUGUAACGUACCGGCGUGCCUGUAAUCCGUACGGGUUGUGGGAGCAAGAGCCCGGAGAUGGAUUCUGAGACACGAAUCCAGGCCCUACGGGGCGCAGCAGGCGCGAAAACUCUACAAUGCAGGCAACUGCGAUAGGGGGACAUCGAGUGGCAUCCACCUUGGGUGCCUGUCCAACCGUCUAAAAAACGGUUGUUAGCAAGGGCCGGGUAAGACCGGUGCCAGCCGCCGCGGUAAUACCGGCGGCUCGAGUGGUGGCCGAUAUUAUUGAGUCUAAAGGGUCCGUAGCCGGCUUUGCAAGUCCCCUGGGAAAUCCAGCGGCUUAACCGUUGGGCUUUCAUGGGAUACUACAUUGCUUGGGACUGGGAGAGGUAGGAGGUACUCGGGGGGUAGGGGUGAAAUCCUGUAAUCCUCCGGGGACCACCGGUGGCGAAGGCGUCCUACCAGAACAGGUCCGACGGUGAGGGACGAAAGCUAGGGGCACGAACCGGAUUAGAUACCCGGGUAGUCCUAGCCGUAAACGAUGCCCGCUAGGUGUCACGACGGUCGUGAAUCGUCGUGGUGCCGUAGGGAAGCCGCGAAGCGGGCCACUUGGGAAGUACGGCCGCAAGGCUGAAACUUAAAGGAAUUGGCGGGGGAG
rnacentral:rRNA from 1 species